rnacentral:rRNA from 1 species
UACGUAGGCAGCGAGCGUUGUUCGGAAUUACUGGGCGUAAAGAGUGUGUAGGCGGUGCUCUAAGUUCGGUGUGAAAUCUCCUGGCUCAACUGGGAGGGUGCGCCGGAAACUGGAGUGCUUGAGCGCGGGAGAGGAAAGCGGAAUUCCUGGUGUAGCGGUGAAAUGCGUAGAUAUCAGGAGGAACACCUGUGGUGUAGACGGCUUUCUGGACCGUAGCUGACGCUGAGACACGAAAGCGUGGGUAGCAAACAGG